rnacentral:ncRNA from 1 species
AUAAAAACUAUGAAGAGAAGAGUAAAUAUAGAUGACAUUAUAGAGAGUUGGAGAUGGUGGAAAUCCGAUAUUUAAUCUAUAUUGAAGAACAUCUCGGAGUUUCUAACCGAAAUUUUUAAAAGUAGGCUUAGAGGGAAUCCAAAACCUUAUAUUUGGAAAGUAUUUAAUAGUACUUAUUUAAGUUGGCUUUGUCAUUAAGCAAUUUGGGUGGUACCGCGAAAUUUAGUCUUUCGUCCCAUGA